UUUUUUGCCCAUGUUCUGUAAUUUUGAUGCAUUUGCACAGGAAUACGAUGGUCUAGAAAACCGUUUCAUCGAAGAAAACUUUAACUACAGUUAUUCUGAUGUAAUUUGACCAUCCCCGUUUUCAGUGACAAUUUAGGAUUUCAUUAAUGUGAAAACAUUGAGUAUUUAAAACAUUAUAAAUCGAUAUAUUUAGUAUUAUUCUUUAUAUAAAAGCAGUUUUGGUUUCAUUUUUCUGGCAGUAUUUGAUCACAAACCACAGAAUGUAGAGGAGGAACCUAACGGGUGUAGCUGUGUGGGCUACACGUGUGGAUGUUGUCAGCAUUUAGAGGUGGACAAGAUAGGUCUGAACGACACCGUGUGUAUCAACGUGAAGUACCUGGACCAGGAUUACGGGUUAGAGGUCACACUCAGCGUGGAUGGACACGUCUACAUCAACGCCUCUAUUUCAGCUCGAAAUCCUCCUCCAUUGUGUGCCGCCAUACCAGGACUGAAGGAUUUGGCCAGCAUUUGUUUACAAUUCUACAACUUGAAUGUCAACUCCACUUCCUUUUCCGGUUGUAUGAGAGUGGUUGCCAAGCUAAAAUACGUCACAGUGGAUAAGAUAAAUAUUGGCUGCUUCAAAAUCCCUCCCUCUAAAUCCGGCGCCCGGACAGUCCCGAAAGUCCAGUCUAAAGAAUUUCUGGCUUUUGUGGAAAAAUACAUGGAGGCUAAACGCUCGGACUAUAAAUGGUUAGAUCUGAAGAAAUUUGAUGUGAGAAGUCUUAAAUGAGCAUUAGAAACCAUGAAAGAGACUGAACUAAGUACUGACUAUUUCUCCACAUCCCUGAAGUCCACAUUUAUAUACUAAAGUAUACUUGAAGACUUUUUAAAAGUAUACAAUUUUUUUUCUCAUACUUUAUAAAUGUAUUGCUGAAGUUUUGUUUAAUUUAUGUUAUUUUUACCAAUAUGCAUUUACAAAAAAAGAUUUCUUUCAAAAUAAAACGUGUAUACAUGCAAAUUUGCUUAGAGGUCAUAUCCUGCUUUUCAGGUAAUUUUUUUUUCGCAAAUGUAUAAAGUAUAUACUAAUAUUGUAUCAAGAUAUAUAUGCAUGUUGAACAUGAAGUGAUCAGUAGAAACGAAAAACUGAAAUAAAAAAAAAAACCAACC
rnacentral:misc_RNA from 1 species